rnacentral:rRNA from 1 species
GACGAACGCUGGCGGCGUGCCUAAUACAUGCAAGUCGAACGCUUCUUUCCUCCCGAGUGCUUGCACUCUAUUGGAACGAGGAGUUGCGGACGGGUGAGUAACACGUGGGUAACCUACCCAUCAGAGGGGGAUAACACUUGGAAACAGGUGCUAAUACCGCAUAACAGUUUAUGCCGCAUGGCAUAAGAGUGAAAGGCGCUUUCGGGUGUCGUUGAUGGAUGGACCCGCGGUGCAUUAGCUAGUUGGUGAGGUAACGGCUCACCAAGGCCACGAUGCAUAGCCGACCUGAGAGGGUGAUCGGCCACACUGGGACUGAGACACGGCCCAGACUCCGACGGGAGGCAGCAGUAGGGAAUCUUCGGCAAUGGACGAAAGUCUGACCGAGCAACGCCGCGUGAGUGAAGAAGGUUUUCGGAUCGUAAAACUCUGUUGUUAGAGAAGAACAAGGACGUUAGUAACUGAACGUCCCCUGACGGUAUCUAACCAGAAAGCCACGGCUAACUACGUG